UGGUUGGCUUGACAAUUGUGCCACUCAGUGACAACUGUCACCUCAUUGGCCAGGGGGAUGGAUGAGGGGAGUGCAGCAAAGGAGGGGAUUCAAAUUGUAUUUAAAGGCCACCCUCUGGCCUUGCAAAGUCACUCUUUCUUGGAUUGAUUUAUUGGAUUGCUGCUGCUACCUUCCUACCUUAUUGGAUUAACUAAUUAUUAUUAUUAUGGUGGGAUUUUUUGUUCCCUGGGCUGCUGGGCUGUUUCUUGAUUGUUUGCUUUUUAAGCAGUGUGCCUGCCUGGCUCCUGUGCCCAGCUCUACCAACCAGCCUUCAGCUAAUUUUCUUUCUUUCUUUCUUUCUUUCUUUCUUUCUUUCUUUCUUUCUUUCUUUCUUUCUUUCUUUCUUUCUUUUUAAAUUUAAUUUGAAAAUCAAAGCUGUGCCUUGGUCUGCUGCUGACUGCUGCCAGCCAGCCACCACAUCAGACAUCCAGGCUCUGAGUCUGUGCCCUGCUGGGCCCAUUGCGGCUGCAGUUCUAGGUUGUUGUUUUUGUUUUUGUUUUUUUGAACUGCAGGGGCCUGAAAGUCUGAGAGAGGCGUUUUCCUCUCUCUGAUUAAAAUUUUCUUUGAUCUCUCUCUCUCUCUCUCUCUCCACUUUGGCCUUAAAAAACAAUACUUUGGUUUUCUGUUUGAGGCCUAAUCCCCUCACAAACAUCUGCCCACCUGUGAGCGAGUGGGUGCUGCUCCACUCUGCUGGGCCUGCAGCAGUCCCUGGCUGGCCUCCUGACUUAUCCAGCUGAAGACUUCUGGACAAUGGAGGUAAUUCAUACAUUGGUGCUAUCAUUGCGGAUUCUUUGCCUUUGAACUUCACCACACCUUGAAAUAUGAGUGAAACUCCCUGUGAAGGUCUUUGUUGGAAAUACAUCUGACCUUAAAAAUCACUUUUUGUGCUGUGACUGCAGAGCGCUUCAAUACCUCCACGCAGCUCCUGGAGGCCUAUAAUUGUCAAGUGACUUACGUUGUAGCUCACCUUACUGCCAUGAUGGAACCCAAGGCAGCUGCAUACAUGUGUUCUCCAUCCAGGCACUGUCCAAACCCAGAACUGGUUAGCUUCAGCAAACUUGCUACAGCAUCAAGCCACAGAUCAUUUUGCUCUAGUACCAUCUGUCAAGAGGAAAGAACCCAUCUGGGCUGGAUGAAUGUGUUGGAGCUAGGACCCUGGCUGUAUCAGCUCUCAUCUGCAGCGUCUCAUAGUGACCACUGGAGGAUUUUAGGGUCAUGGAUAAAAGUGCUGGGUGCCUCCCCAAUUUGUUCUUCCAGUGUUAGUCUUCAUUUUGUCUCUCCAGAGAUGGCUGUUUGUUUUACUCUUUCUUUUCAGCCGUGAGGUACAACUGAAAUUAAGCUGCAGGCUUUUUCACAUUCGUUUGUAACCUUUUCAUUAAAUAUAUCACUGUAGUUCUUCAAUAAUAAAGAACUGUCUCAAGA